rnacentral:rRNA from 1 species
GCUUUAUAUUGAACAAUUAUUAUAUAUUUAGUUGUCUUUUUGUGAUAUUUGGGAAAAUAUUUUGUUGGGGUGACAGGAAGAUAAAGUAAACUCUUUUUAAUUGUUAACCAUUAAUUUAUGAAUAGUUGAUCCAUUAUUAGUGAUUAUAAGACUAAGU